rnacentral:rRNA from 1 species
CUCCUACGGGAGGCAGCAGUGGGGAAUAUUGCACAAUGGGGGAAACCCUGAUGCAGCAACGCCGCGUGAGUGAAGAAGGUUUUCGGAUUGUAAAGCUCUGUUAGCAGGGAAGAGGAAGGACGGUACUCUAAGAAUAAGCACCGGCUAACUACGUGCCAGCAGCCGCGGUAAUACGUAGGGUGCGAGCGUUAAUCGGAAUUACUGGGCGUAAAGGGUGCGCAGGCGGUUGAGUAAGACAGAUGUGAAAUCCCCGAGCUUAACUCGGGAAUGGCAUAUGUGACUGCUCGACUAGAGUGUGUCAGAGG